GACGAACGCUGGCGGCGUGCUUAACACAUGCAAGUCGAACGAUGAAGCCUAGCUUGCUAGGUGGAUUAGUGGCGAACGGGUGAGUAAUACGUGAGUAACCUACCUUUAACUCUGGGAUAAGCCUGGGAAACUGGGUCUAAUACCGGAUACGACCAAUCUCCGCAUGGGGUGUUGGUGGAAAGCGUUAUGUAGUGGUUAUAGAUGGGCUCACGGCCUAUCAGCUUGUUGGUGAGGUAACGGCGCACCAAGGCGACGACGGGUAGCCGGCCUGAGAGGGUGACCGGCCACACUGGGACUGCGACACGGCCCAGACUCCUACGGGAGGCAGCAGUGGGGAAUAUUGCACAAUGGGCGCAAGCCUGAUGCAGCGACGCCGCGUGAGGGAUGACGGCCUUCGGGUUGUAAACCUCUGUUAGCAGGGAAGAAGAGAAAUUGACGGUACCUGCAGAGAAAGCGCCGGCUAACUACGUG
rnacentral:rRNA from 1 species